AAUAGCCUAACGGCUGAACCAGCAAUUCGGAGGAAUGAAAAAAAGUAUGAAUUUCAUAUUUUUAGUGGUUUAUCCACAUAUAGUUCUGGGUAUAUAAUUGAUAAUGACAGUUUAUACCCAUUAGUCUUGACCAACUCACGUGCCAGCAGUCGCGGUAAUACGGGAGAGACAAGUGUUAUUCAUCUUUAAUAGGUUUAAAGGGUACCUAGACGGAUUAUUCAACCAAAAUCAAAUUUUAUAUAAAUUGAGCAUCUCAUAUUUUAACCAUUAUGUUUUGUGGUAUGACAAUCUAGAGUUUUAUGUGAAAGGAAUAUGUUAGUACUUAUGGAGUAGAGAUGAAAUUCUUUGAUACUAUAGGGCACUGGUAACGGCGAAGGCAAUCCUUUAUGUAAAAACUGACGUUGAGGGACGAAGGCUUGGGUAGCAAACAGGAUUAGGUACCCUAAUAGUCCAGGCAGAUAAUUAUGAGUGUUAUAGAUUAGAAUUUAUUUGAUCUAUAAAUGAAAGUGUAAGCACUCCACCUCAAGAGUAAUGUGGCAACGCAGGAACUGAAAUCAUUAGACCGUUUCUGAAACCAGUAGUGAAGUAUGUUGUUUAAUUCGAUGAUCCGCGAAAAAUCUUACCACAACUUGAAUAUAAUGAUGCAAAUGCAUAUGUGCUAUUUAUACAGGUGUUGCACGGCUGUCUUUAGUUAAUGUCGUGAGACGCAGGUUAGCUCCAAAAAAUUGACGUAAACCCUUACUUUAUUUACAGUUAUAUUAUAUUUAUUAUCAUAUAAUAUUUAUUACUAAAGUAGUUCUCCUAUACAUGGGAUAAGAUAAAAGGGAUUAAGACAAGUAAUCGCGGCCCUUAUGUUGU
rnacentral:rRNA from 1 species